rnacentral:rRNA from 1 species
GACGAACGCUGGCGGCGUGCUUAACACAUGCAAGUCGAACGGAAAGGCCCUGCUUUUGUGGGGUGCCCGAUUGGCAAACGGGUGAGUAACACGUGAGUAACCUGCCCUUGACUUUGGGAUAACUUAAGGUAACUGGGGCUAAUACCGGAUAGGAGAUCCUGCAGCAGGGUGGGGGUUGGAAAGUUUCGGCGGUUGGGGAUGGACGAGCGGCUUAUCGGCUUGUUGGUGGGGUAGUUGCUUACCAAGGCAUUGACGGGUAGGCGGCCUGGGAGGGUGAACGGGCUCAAUGGUACUACGGGAGGCACCAGUGUGCUACAGUAGGCAAUGGGCGCGAGUCUUACACAGUGAGCCGGAGCGGGUGACGAAGGCCUCGGGUUCGUGAUGACGGCCUUCUGGGUAAGAACCGCUUUCGCUUGAUACGAAGCGUUAGUGACGGUAAUGAAUAAAUAAGCACCGGCUAACUACGUG